GUAUGGUCAGGCGGGAUCAUCUGCCAGCUGGAGGUCUCAGGACUGUGGAAAACCAUGUAUUCUAGCAGUAUAUUCUCUGGCCCAGCCGACCAUUACUAUCUUCAUAACGCUUAUGAAACUGUGCCUUCUCUAAGGCCAUUCACAGCUCUCGACUGGGCUAUCCUUCUUUGCCCUCUGUGCAUAAUUUCAUGCUUAUUUGAUCUCCCCAACCUCUGCACUGACCUGGCUUCUUGUGUUAUAUCCUAAACAACUUGUUCUUGGUUUCAUCCACUCAGUUCUCUGGAUCAGCCAGCUUCACACAGAAGUGACAGCACUUCUGAAAUCCCCUCUUAGUCACUUUUGUAACUUCAACCUCUGCUAAAGGUAGACACUCACUCUAUAGACCAGGCCUUGAGCUCAAAGAUCCACCUGCCUCUGCCCCCUGGCCCCCUCCACCUCCCCACGAGUGCUGGGACUAAAGGUGUGAACCACCACCACCACCACCACCACCACCCAGCUCCCUUGUUUUCUUAACAUUGAUCUAUUUAUAACUAGAGUGAGCAAAGCAGUGGUGGUGCACAACUUUAAUCCCACCACUCAGGAGGCAGAGGCAGGUGGAGCUCUGUGAUUUCGAGGCCAGCCUGGUCUACAAUAUGAGUUCCAGGACAGCCAGGGAUACACAGAGAAACCCUGCCUCAAAAAGAAAAUCAAAUAAACCCCCACAGAGUUACACCUUAUCCACUGCCCAAUGUCCUGCCAUUGGUUCCCAGACCAGAGCCUAGAGCCUGAAAUGGUCAUAUGCUCAGGCCCCAUUGCAAAGGACAGUGGGAAGGCACCUGCUUGUCUAACCUCUGGGGUGGCAAAGCUCGGGAGGGACUCCUCCUUAGGCAGCAGAGAUGCUCACUGGUGUGGGCUGUGCACACUCUGGUUUUCUUUCCUCUAAACUUGUGGGCCCCCAGGUUCAAGCUUUUAAUUUUCAGGUUUGCAUAUCUAUAAGUGCCUCCGUGUAUCUAUGUGGACCACAUGUAUGCCUGGUGCCUGUGGAAAUGAGAAGAAAGCAUUGAAUCCCCUCAAAAAGUGUUCUUAACCCCUUAGCCAUCUCUCCAGCCCCAGGUUCAAAUCCUGAGCACCGUCUGAACUAGUCCUGUGUCCAAGACAGUAUCAUCAAACCCUGCCCUUCCCGCCUUGUGCCAGCUCGCGCUUUUUCUUACAUCUGUAUGUUGAUGCUUAGCAGGUUCCUUGAAUGCUUGGUUUAUGUGCCUGGCUGGAGGAGACACCCAUGGCCUUGCAGAGGGAGCGUUCUGGUGGGAAAGCAGACACAACCCACCCUAGGCCCGUGGUUUCCCUGCAAGAAGCCCAGUGGCUUUCUGGAGGACACUUUUCCUGGAGGAAGUGACUCAAGUGGGCAGAGACCACCUCCCUCAUUGCCGCUUUGGGUUUGGACCGCUUUAAACAGUAAAGUGACUGUCGACGGCUCAGUCUACAGGGAGGAGAACAAAAGACAGGGUCAGGGCUGGGCAGACUGGACAGGAGCAGCAUAAGCCAGGCUCUAUGGAAUGUUGGGUGAGCUGCUUGAGGAACUCCAAGGCCUGUCCCACAGUCUUCCAGCCUCCGACUCUCCGGCCCUCAGCGAGGAAGUCCCACUGGUUUUUUUGGUUGGUUUUUUUUUUUUUUUUUAAGGUUUUUUGGUUUUUUUUUUUUUUUCUCAUUCCUGUCUUGGGAGCUUUCCCCAACCAGGAGAGUGAAGAUGGGCGGAGCUGUCACACCAACUGUUAGCCUGCCUUGGCUGAGAGGAGAGGAGGCGAGGAGGGAGCGACCACCCAGCUUUAGUCGUUUUAAAACAGCUCCUGACCCUAGAAGAAGGGAAAUGGAGAUGAAGACCCAAUUGACUUGGUAUGAAGUUUAAAUGCCCCUUCAAGACUUGGGGGUCGAGGACGGUGAGAUUGGCUCAGUGGAUAGAUUCACUUGCCUCUAAGCCUGACAACCUAAGUUAAUAUCCUCUACCCACAUAUGGAAGGAAAAAAAUGAUUUCCAAAAGUUGUCCUCUGACCUCCACACAGAGACCAUGGCCUGUGCACCACCCCCCGAAAAUGUAAUAUAUUUUUUAAAAAGACAUGGGGACUUCCAUUCAGUGUCUCCCAAUGUUUGGGGAUUUCCUUUCCUUAUUUCCUUACUCCCUGUCGGUGCCCUAGAGGAGACAGAGAGAGUCUAACUACGGAGAGGUCAUUCUCUAGGUUGGUUGGUGGAAUAUUCAGGACUCCUGGGAAGGCUCCAACUGGUCCCUGAGAGUCCCAGUUUCCUCUAUCACACAGCAGAAGGUGGGGAAUGGCUGCCGUGGUUGGAAGAGCGCGUUGGUGCUGAGGGGGCCAGCUGGUUGAGAAGCAGGUGGAGAGGGAAAGGACCCUGCUUAAGAGGGGGCUGGGUGGGAAGGCUGGGUAAUUUAUGAUAUCAUUGUUCCCGCCCCUCUUCCCAGCCCCCUGCCACUUUACUGUUGCUAGGAGAUCCUGGCUGGCCCUGUCAAAUGGAAAACUCCUCCUCAGCCAGAGUAGGCCCUACCCUGAGUCACAACAGACCCUAAACACACCAGUGUCUCCUAUGAAUCCAUUCAGGUUCAGCCAGCUUGGGCGUGGGACUACCUGACCGAGCAAGUGCUUGUGUGUGUGUGUGUGUGUGUGUGUGUGUGUGUGUGUGUGUGUGUGUGUGUGUGUGAUAUGGAGGGAGCCAGGAGAUAGACUUUGAGGAUGGAGGAGCACUCUGAGGGCCUGCAGGUGACCCUGGGAACCAAGCCUGGGAAGAACCUAAGUUAAUAAUGCAAUCUUUAUCUUAGAGAGAGUGAUCUUUCAGCAGACUGAUCGAACACACAGGCUUCUCAGCCCACUCCCUCCAGUCAAGGUUAAGGCCUGGCAAAGGUGGAGGAAGAGAAGCUGAGGAGAAAAAGGCGAGGAGAGCCUAGGCACAGGAAGGCUUCCCUCCCUCCCAGUGCUGAUUUCCUGUGGACCAGAUUCCAGCACAGUGGAGGGCCAGAGCUCAGGGAACAGACCCAGCAGCACAGCAAGUCUCCAAGGAAAGCUCUAGCAGUCUCCAGGGGCUGAAGGCAGGACUGGGGAAGCGGCUAGCCAGGCUGCAGAAGGCAAAUGCUCCCAGACGGCUGUCCAGCACGCAUCCGCCUUCCUAGCCAAGUUUCCUGGGCUCCUGCCACAGAUCUAAGCCUCAUCCUGACAUCCUGCCCUCUGUGCUCUGGGAUGGCCCAGGGGAGAUGCUUAGCCUUGGCUCCUUGUCUGCUGGUGGAGGGGACACACACCCUUUCUGGACCACAGACCAAAAAGAAGACCUGACGUCAUCCUGAGCACCCCCGCCAUGCAGAGUGUGUUCGCAGACUGCCAACGGGCUGGCUCCGGCCAGCAGAAGUGAACAGAGGUGGAGGUUCAGCCUGACAGCUUCUCCCCAAAGCCAUGGAGAGAAAACCUUACCACCCCCACCGCCCAGCUACUUCCAGCAAGUUGUCCAGCCUGACCCCUCUAUUUCCCCUGUUGUCUCUUAUCUGGGUCCCUGAGACCCACCCCAUCUCCAAUAAAGAACAUUGCAUACUGUGCAUCCACUACUGAACAACAUAGUCACACCAGGCAGGGCUCCCUAAAGCCUACCUGCAUGGCCAGCGUGGUCCGAGGACAGUGUGCUCUCCCCACCCUGUCUGCUAGCCUCCAGCUUCAUGGGAACUCCAUUAAUCAUGGGAUUCCGAGAUCAUCAGAGCAAUAGGAUCACUCCGUCUCCAGGGGAGCACAAGGCAAGAGCCAGAGCGGGACUGUUCUUCAGUCAAGGGGCAGGGGUUGCUGCCUCU
rnacentral:lncRNA from 1 species